CCUUCCCUUUUUCUCAAAUAUUGGAAUGAUGUGAUAUGAGAUUUGGUUCAAUGAGAACAGCUUAGUAAAACUUACAGAUUAUCUAUGCAUUCUGAGGUGUGUUCUUCACCAUUUAUUCAAAGUAUACUCAUGUUUCCAAUGUCCCAUGAUUCCUAUCAACUAAAGUUUAAUGCUAAUCAUCGUUUCGUACAUUUUUGAUAUCUGGGAUUUUGUUCCUACACAUCUGUGAAUCAAAUGUGGGUUUUGUUCCUGAAUCUGUGGGAACAUAGGACGGACUGUUGUUUGAGAUUUGAGAACCACAGAUUCUAGAACAUCGCCCUACCGCCAGCAUCGACAGACGAUGACGACGGUGUGGCGUUUAGCAUCAACGAUCAGCGAACAACAACAAUGGGGAAAGGUGAGAGAGGAGGGAUGAUGAAACCAUGUCACGAUUUCAGUAGGCCAACUCCGGGACUAAGUGGUCAGUGACCAUUUGAAAUUCAAGGGACUAAAAAUGUCGGUGUUGAAACUUCAUGGACGAAAAAGACAUAAAUUCCUUCGAUCAAGAGAUCAUCGUAGGUGGGCUUCAUAUCGAAUACGGGCAUGAAGGAAGGCCACCGUCAAUCCUAUCACAUAUACUUUUGGGCCACAGGUUCGAGCCCACAAUUCGACGAACCUGAUAUCUUCAAACAAUGGAGAUCGACGACGAGAUUAAGAAAAUAUACAGCAGCACUGUACUCUGCAACAGACAGAAGAGAGGAGAAAACGUAGAUGAGCGCGUGAAUGUAAAUCCCAAAGAAGGAGAUGAAACGAAACUGGAAGGAGAUGAAACGAAACUGGAAGGAGAUGCGAAUUCUGGGGACGAACUGAACUGUGAGAUUAGGAAACGCAAUGGAGACCGUUAGAUAAGAAAGAGAGAGAGAGAUGCGUCCGAUCGAAUCAAGAGCAGGCGGUGGAAAAGGACGAAAGAAGCAGUCAGUCUGAAUGAGGGAAGGGGGCCCUUCCUUCGGUUCCUUGAAAACCGACGCUACGUUACGCCACAAACAGAUAGAUAGCUGCUCGCCAUUGGCGCUAUGUAGAUGCGGAUUCUUGGGGACUGAGCCGGCUGAUGCAUCUUCUGCAUCCUCCUCCAGAAUAAGUGCAGACAAAAUGGGAACUCAAAAGGUCAGAACUUUACUUGGCAUCUCUAUUUACUCUGCCUUUCUUCUUCUUUAUGAUUCCUAAUGGGCAUUGCAUUGCAUGAGUCUGUACUGUCUGCCAAUUUUUGCCUCUUUUCCCCAAACUACCCUUCUCUGUUUUUUUUUCGCUGUGGCUUGUGGGAUCUCUUUCUGCACUUGUGUCAGUAUGAGUGGUGCAUUUUCUGGGGUCAGUUUGGACAAUUUGGAUGCGGUAAUUGGCUUGCCUUCUCCUUUUUUUUUUUUACUUUUUCUUAAAUCCAAGGCUGGGGGAGCUUCUGAAUUUGCAACACCAACACUUUGUCUUUCACUUUUUUAUUGCUUUGAUAAAAUAUGAUGUGUUCAUCUAUAAGGUUCCUUUUCUUUUUGUAA